rnacentral:rRNA from 1 species
UACGUAGGGGGCGAGCGUUGUCCGGAAUUAUUGGGCGUAAAGAGCUCGUAGGCGGCUUGGCAAGUCGGAUGUGAAAACUCCAGGCUCAACCUGGAGCCGCCAUUCGAUACUGCCAUGGCUAGAGUCCGGUAGGGGAGUGUGGAAUUCCCGGUGUAGCGGUGAAAUGCGCAGAUAUCGGGAGGAACACCGAUGGCGAAGGCAGCACUCUGGGCCGGCACUGACGCUGAGGAGCGAAAGCGUGGGGAGCGAACAGG